rnacentral:rRNA from 1 species
ACGAACUCUGGCGGCGUGCUUCACACAUGCCAGUCGCACGGAAAGGCCCUGCUUUUGUGGGGUGCUCGAGUGGCGAACGGGUGAGUAACACGUGAGUAACCUGCCCUUGACUUUGGGAUAACUUCAGGAAACUGGGGCUAAUACCGGAUAGGAGCUCCUGCUGCAUGGUGGGGGUUGGAAAGUUUCGGCGGUUGGGGAUGGACUCGCGGCUUAUCAGCUUGUUGGUGGGGUAGUGGCUUACCAAGGCUUUGACGGGUAGCCGGCCUGAGAGGGUGACCGGCCACAUUGGGACUGAGAUACGGCCCAGACUCCUACGGGAGGCAGCAGUGGGGAAUAUUGCACAAUGGGCGGAAGCCUGAUGCAGCAACGCCGCGUGCGGGAUGACGGCCUUCGGGUUGUAAACCGCUUUCGCCUGUGACGAAGCGUGAGUGACGGUAAUGGGUAAAGAAGCACCGGCUAACUACGUG